UACAGAGGUCCCUAGCGUUGUUCGGAUUUACUGGGCGUAAAGGGCACGUAGGCUGCUAGGCGUGUCGCGUGUGAAAUCUCCGGGCCCAACCCGGAAAGUGCGCGCGAAACUACCUGGCUGGAGUACGGGAGGGGGAGUCGGAAUAUAGGGUGUAGCGGUGAAAUGCGUUGAUAUCCUAUAGAACACCGGAGGCGAAGGCGGACUCCUGGAACGUAACUGACGCUAAGGUGCGAAAGUCGGGGGAGCAAAC
rnacentral:rRNA from 1 species